rnacentral:lncRNA from 1 species
AAUUCACCCUUCUUCUUUAAACCCUCUGUUCCAUCAAAGCUUAUCCUUCAUCCCAAUUCACCCAGCACAAACAAGUAAGUACUUUGUUUUUUUAAAAAAGGAUUAUUUAUUCAGGGUGUGAUAGAUUAACAUGGUAUGAAGGUGGAAUUUGAUUUACCGGCCGCUGUGUUGCUGUUGUUGAUGUUUCCUAGGAGUCCCAAGGAUUCUGGCAGACCCUCCCAACUUCUCUGCUCGACAAUCCAAUUUAUUCAUAGUUUUAUCAGGGCAGUUCAUCAUAACUAGGGCUGAAUCCUUUGUAUCCACAGCACCGCAAGUCAUCAAAUUGCGGAACACCUGAGAAGCUCCACUUGAAUGGCUCUUGCUCUUUGUAAAUGAUGCAAAUGAUGAACUUGGUGCUGCACUACUCUUUUCCACAUUAUUUGUCUUCUUUUUUUUCUUCGUCUUGCUCUUCUUAUUGAUGGGGUUAGAAUAGAAAGAAGAAGAAGAAGAAUUUUCAAAGCUCAAAUCCCUUUCACUCAUUUCUUGUUUACUCCUCUCCAGAGAUUUGUCUUCUUCAAACUUCAUAGAAUAGUCUGUCACCGUGGAGGUCUCUGAGCUGAAUGGGGGUGAUUCUUCAAUGAUUUCGGAUGAUGUCUUCAUUGGGGUAUGGAUUUUAGAAUCUGGGUGUCCUUCACUUGCUUCUCCUGUUGAGGCUCGCUGUUGUCUGCCUUCAUUCUCAUCUUCAACUUCAAUCUCAACCUCUUGCUGCUUCAGGGUGGAAGCGUUUUUCUCAC